rnacentral:rRNA from 1 species
CCCUAUGGGGUGCAGCAGCGGGGCGCAGUGGUUUUUUGGGGAUUUGAAUUGUGAUGGGGUGGUGGAUGCGGGGGAUUUGGCGGAGGUGUCGGUGCAUCUGGGGGAUCGGGUGGCCGGGGCGAGCGGGGAUUCCGCCGGUGAGGACACCGGCGGCACUGUUGCGGUGGCGGGGAAGACGAAGGGUCAAGAGGUCAAGGGUUUAAAGGUUCAAAAGAGCAAGGCGUCGGCGAAGGCGGCGGUGAAGGUGAAGAUGGCAAGAAAAGGCAAGAUGCAAGAGGCAAACGGAAUAGUGAAGAGAGGAUAAGUGGAGAAGGAGACUGUCAUGAGGAAGCUGCGUUGGUGCCUGGCUGUCGCUGCUGCAAUCUGGAUUGCCGGAGUUCAGGCCGUAACUGCGGCCGAUGGGGUGCUUGGUGAGAAGGAAUUGGCGGGGGGGC